GUGUACGGCCAUACCACCCUGAAGGCACCUGAUCUCGGAAGCUUAGCAAGGUUAGGCCCAUUUAGUACUUGGAUGGGAGACCGCCUGGAAAAACCGGGCACUAUAGGUU
rnacentral:rRNA from 1 species